AGCAAGGAAGAGCCAGGGAAUUGCAGAGGGAAGAGAGAAAAUACUGAGGGAAAAGGAAGCAAGAGGACAAAAGGAGAUCAAAACCCAUAAUGUUUAGAAUUACUGGGGCUCUUCAACUACUAAAGCAGUAGAAGAGAGGCAGCCCAUGAGACAAAAAGGCAUUUAGAAGAUACUAGGAAAGUAAAGAAAAGCAUCUAAAUAAUACCAGUGCCUACCGAACAGAGUGUCCAAAGACUGACAGGAAGACUUCUGAAUGAUGUUACACUGGGAGAUAGUUCAUUUUGUAUGAACUUUAGCAGGUGGUGAAAGCUUGGAAACGUACCUCUGGAAGAGACAAGUGCCUCUGUUGGUGCAAGUUCAUCAUUACAAACGGGCUGAACCCCAGGAUGUGCAGAAGGCUGCUGAUCUGUGAUACAUGUCUGUGCUCCACACAAUUAGGUUUUGUUUUCAAGUUAAUGAAGAAAUUCCUUUGAUUCAUGAGAUUACCGUAACUCUCUUAGUUGUGGUUGCAAAUCACCUCUAUAACUACUUACGAUUUGUUUACAGGUGUGUAAAAUCUUUAUAUGUAAAUUUCUGCAAUUAUGGCAAUUCUUUUCAAAGAAUUUUACUUAAAUUGGUUUGCCUCUGCACUUGUACGUUUUCACUUCUUGCAAAAUUAUUUAACUUCCAUUUAGCAGUCUCAGACAGAAGCUUUUCACUUAACUGUAAAUGUUACUCUUCAUCUUUUUCACAUAAUCUAUGAUCUUUUUCUUAUCUUUUUGCUGAAAUCCAUCAUCUGAUUUUUACCGCAUGUCAUACCAUUUUUGCUUCUUCUAAAUUCAAGGCAGGAUUUUUCUGAAGCCUUUGUUCUCAGUGUUGGGUAUCUGAUCCUCUUACAAUCUGUAAUAGGCCACUGGCUUUCUGAAAUUGCAUAUUUGAAUCCACAACUUCGAAUGUGCUGUAAAUAUUUUAAAAUGUUGUCUCUCCCUUUAAUUUGAUAUAUGAAACUGAUAUCUACUUUGAUAGAUAUCAAAAAUUAAAGCAAUUAGGAAUCUCAAUAAAAUAGAUUGAGAACCGACUUCUUGUCCCUCCUUGAAUUAAGGUUUGUUAAAGGUAGUAAUUUACAUGCAUUAAUAUUAGAAAUGUGUUUCACAUUUGAAGCUUGUGAAUAUGACUUUACUUUCCAAACAAGAGAUUCCAUUCUUGCUUGAAGUUUUUCCAGGUGGUUGCUUGUAUUCUGUAGAAUUUCAAGUACUUUGGUAGUUUUUACUUCCUUUCUCUUUUUGUUACUCGCUAUCUUGUCUUUGUUUCUCUGUUUUGAGAUUCUCAUAGCAUCUACGCGUUUUCAAAGAUACAGAUAAAAAACAUUGGCAGACAUCAAAGCAAAGCAUUUGUGAGAGAGAAGAAAAAUAAACAAAUAAACUAAUAUUGGUUUCCUC